GCGGCCUCUGAGCCCCACCAACGCCCCUCCCUGCUCUGUCCCCUGCAGCUCCUGUCUGAGAAUGGCAGGGAUGGCGUGAUGCCCCCCACGCAGGAACUGCCCCUCAGUGCCAGCCUGCAGCUGGCCACCGGCCGCCGGCCCCGGCUCAGCCUCUCCCAGGACACCCUCAGCGCCCUGCUGGAGCAGGGCCAGGGCCAGGGCACCCUCAACCUCAGCAUCACCAGCCUGGCGGGCGGCAAUUCCCCUCUGCAAGGCCAGGUCACCCAGAGCAGCUCGCUGACCGUGUCUGCCCUUUUCCCCUUCAUCCCCCAGCUCAGCCGGGCCCUCCCUGGCUCCCUGCCCCUGGAGCUGCGUGUCCGAGUGAGGGAUGAGCCAGUGGUGGCUGUGAGGGAUGGAAGGGCCACUGUCACCCUCAGAGCCACUAUUGAUGUCGCCAGCCCUGCCC
rnacentral:lncRNA from 1 species